AAGCCUAAGCCAUGCAAGUCUAAGUACUUGCUAAAUUAAAGUGAAACCGCAAAGCGCUCAGUAAACCAGUUUCAAUUUACUAGAGCAUAAGCGCCUUCACGGGGGUGUGGAUAACCUGUGGUAAUUCUAGAGCUAAUACAAGUGUUCUUAUCCAAACCAGUAAUGGUUUGGAUACCUUUUAUUAGAAUCAAAAACUAAUCGUCCAUGCUUGUCUGGGCGUGUUUUUGGUGACUCUAAAUAAUGCCUCAGUUCGCACAGCCUUCGUGCAGGCGACACAUCUUUCAAAUGCCUGACUUAUCAACUGUCGAUGGUAGACUUAUUGUCUACCAUGGUAGUUACGGGUAACGGGGAAUCAGGGUUCGAUUCCGGAGAGGGAGCCUGAGAAACGGCUACCACAUCCAAGGAAGGCAGCAGGCACGCAAAUUACCCAUUUCCAGAACGGAGAGGUAGUGACAAAAAAUAACGAUACGGGACUCUAUUGAGGCCCCGUAAUCGGAAUGAGUACACUUUAAAUCCUUUAACCAGGAUCGAUUGGAGGGAAAGUCUGGUGCCAGCAGCCGCGGUAAUUCCAGCUCCAAUAGCGUAUAUUAAAGUUGUUGCAGUUAAAAAGCUCGUAGUUGGUUUUGCGUGCCACGCUGUCGGUUCGCCGCCUGACGGUGAAACUGGCAUGCCGUGGUACGUCCUGCCGGUGGUAAAUGGUUACCUGGCGUGUGGCUUAGAACUUUGUUUUUUGUUACUGCCUUUGUGUAAUCGUUUGCCGAUUUUUAUCCUACCCGGUGCUCUUAAACGAGUGUCGAGGUAGGCCGGCAACAUUACUUUGAACAAAUUAGAGUGCUUAAUGCAGGCUUGAAAUAUAGCCUGAAUAGUGGUGCAUGGAAUAAUAGAAUAGGACUUUGGUUCUAUUUUGUUGGUUUUCGGAACUCAAGGUAAUGAUCAAUGUGGACAAGCGGGGGCAUUCGUAUUGCGGCGUUAGAGGUGAAAUUCUUGGAUCGUCGCAAGACGCACAAGAGCGAAAGCAAUUGCCAAGUAUGUCUUAAUUGAUCAAGAACGAAAGUUAGAGGUUCGAAGGCGAUCAGAUACCGCCCUAGUUCUAACCAUAAACGAUGCCAGCCAGCGAUCCGACGUGUUCAUAUUAUGACACGUGCGGGCAGCUUCUUCCCGGGAAACCAAAGCUUUUGGGUUCCGGGGGAAGUAUGGUUGCAAAGCUGAAACUUAAAGGAAUUGACGGAAGGGCACCACCAGGAGUGGAGCCUGCGGCUUAAUUUGACUCAACACGGGAAACCUCACCAGGUCAGGACAUUGUAAGGAUUGACAGAUUGAUAGCUCUUUCUUGAUUCAGUGGGUAGUGGUGCAUGGCCGUUCUUAGUUGGUGGACCGAUUUGUCUGGUUAAUUCCGAUAACGAACGAGACUCUAGCCUAUUAACUAGGCGUUACCAGUAUCAAUGCUACUGGCGACUAUAUUCCUUCUUAAGGGGACAGGCGGCUUCCAGCCGCACGAAAUUGAGCAAUAACAGGUCUGUGAUGCCCUUAGAUGUCCUGGGCCGCACGCGCGCUACACUGAUGCAAUCAGCGUGUAUUUUCCCUAGCCUAACGGCUCGGGUAAUCCGCUGAACCUGCUUCGUGCUAGGAAUUGGGGAUUGCAAUUGUUCCCCAUGAACGAGGAAUUCCCAGUAAGCGCGAGUCAUAAGCUCGCGUUGAUUACGUCCCUGCCCUUUGUACACACCGCCCGUCGCUACUACCGAUUGAAUGAUUUAGUGAGGUCUUCAGACUGGCGGUAAUCUGUUUAAACUUGUUUAAAUAGACAAACGCUGGAAAGAUGACCAAACUUGAUCAUUUAGAGGAAGUAAAAGUCGUAACAAGGUUUCC
rnacentral:rRNA from 1 species